CCUACGGGUGGCAGCAGUGAGGAAUAUUGGUCAAUGGGCGAGAGCCUGAACCAGCCAAGCCGCGUGAAGGAUGAAGGAUCUAUGGUUUGUAAACUUCUUUUAUAUGGGAAUAAAGUGCGGUACGUGUCCCUUUUUGUAUGUACCCUAUGAAUAAGCAUCGGCUAACUCCGUGCCAGCAGCCGCGGUAAUCCGGAGGAUGCGAGCGUUAUCCGGGUUUAUUGGGUGUAAAGGGUGCGUAGGUGGUUCAUUAAGUCAGCGGUGAAAGUUUGUGGCUCAACCACAAGAUUGCCGUUGAAACUGGUUGACUUGAGUGUGUGAGAGGUAGGCGGAAUGCGUGGUGUAGCGGUGAAAUGCAUAGAUAUCACGCAGAACUCCGAUGGCGAAGGCAGCUUACUAGACUAUAACUGACGCUGAGGCACGAAAGCGUGGGGAUCAAACAGGAUUAGAUACCCUAGUAGUC
rnacentral:rRNA from 1 species